CUUCCAUGUCCCUAAUGCUGGAGUUACAGAGGUGUGUCAUCACGCCUGGCUUCUUUUCCUUCUUCUGUAGUUAUCUAGAACUUGGUCUAGCAGCUCUUUCUGGAUAGGUUAAUGAAGAAUUAAUGGCUUCUUAUGGAUAACUGUAAGAUAACCUGGAGAUACUCACAUGAUCCAAAGUGAAGAACCAGAUAUACACCAGUCUCAGGGGACCACUCUCUUUUCCAGCAAUCCAAUGAGUUUAAUGACUUGUACUUUAAUUAAAAAACACUUUAGAAUGCUUCAUAGGCGGAAGGGAGAGACUGUACCUAUGAAAUAGACAAGAAUUCAAUAGAUAUGAAGGAGGAGGAGAAAGAGGGAUAUCCAGGAGUCAUAAUUAUCUAAUAAUACAAUAGUAGGUCCAGAACCACAAGAGGGCACGAGGAAAACCGGAAAUGUGUCAAGAAGUAAUGAAUAUAACAAGAGAAGGAUUAAAAGACUGAGCUCCUUCCUCUAAUAAAUGGCAUAAGCACUCUAAAGCACUUUCUUAGUAUUAUGUGUUAUGAGGAAUGAAUGUAUAUAUGGCUCUAUGCAUUAAUGCAUCUAAAUGCAUAAAUGGGAGCACAGCAUCAUGAUCUGUGAAAUGACAUAAAGGAAAAUAAAAGCACAUUAAUAAAUCAUAUAAUGUUCCCUGCAGAAGGAACCUGCUACAGUGGGGGGGGGGGACCAAGAAUGUUUCUUUUAUAUUGUCAUGUUCGCAAAACUGCUGUUUAUAACUAAAUCACCAAUGACAGCAUUGGCGGGAGAUUUGUUUUGUUCCUAAUGAGAUUUAACAGGAAAAACUUAAUGUAGUAGCUAUGGCUUGCACUGUUCUUGAAGGCCGUCGUGUUGUGCAUAAUGUGCUGUCUGAUCUUGUUUCUCAACUGGAGUUGAUAAAGAGAAACUGCACUCAGAGCAGCUUCAGGGGCAACCUAACCAGGAAGACGAGGGGUGAAGAAAGGACUGAAACGCUAGGAUCAGGUGGGCUGUGCUCUCACUGAUGUCAGGCACCACUGUAACACCAACUCAGAAGCUCAGUGUAGGAACUCCAGUAGGCAAGAGCAUGACAAGCAUGGCUCUCGCAGUCUUAACCACUCCUCUAUUCCCUCUGCCUUGCUAAAAACCAUUAGAUUUCAUUCCUAAAGUUAGCCAUCAAGGUCUAUUCCCUUAUUGGCCAAAGUCUUCUCUUGAGGCUGACUAUCACCGUCUAGCUAUCAAAGUAUUUAACUCCAGUAACCAAAAGCACCCCUUUGGUUCACCCAAUUCACAUGUUCAAAUGAAAUUAAACACUUCCUCCUAACACAGAGUUUGACCCUAUAAAAAUUGCCAUUUACCUAUGGGCCAUGGCUGUAUCCUCUGUAUCUAGAGAUGAUAUUUUGGCCCUCUGGGACACAUAUCCCUUCCCCCUCUCCUUUGUUCCUUUCCUCUUCUUCCUAGCAAUCUAUCUCCUGUUUUUGUCUCUUAUUUUCUGCCCUUUCUUCCUGUGGGGCAAGGGAGCAAGCUUAGCUAGUCUCAGUAAGAGGUCUCUGCAAAGGAACAGUCUCAGGCUGUAAACAUCCUGGAGGAGGAAGCUGUGGUGAUAGCUUUUGUACACACUGGUCAGUCAUUGAUAAACACUCAACACUUGGACCAGAGUAAGACUUUGCCUUCCUUCUGAGCCUCGCACAGAGAAGGUUUUACCACUUCCACAGGUCUGAGGCAUCCGGGUCCUUAGGAUGGCUGUGCCCAUGUCAAUCUCAGGACUUUCCACAGAAACUCAGAAGAUUAUAAAGCAUACUUCAGGGUGAGUCAGGCCCAUUUUCAAAGAAGAGAAACCAUGGAGAAAGACUUGAUUUGAGUCAACUGACACCAUUCUGCAGACUAGAGACCCAAAAGGAAUCAAAGGAAAAGGAGGAAGUAGCCCAUGGUUGUGGUUGUCAUGGUUUGAGGUGCUCCAUCAUGCUGCCUUCUUCAAGGACAGACCAAAACUGCUGUAAUUACUGGAAAAAUCAGUAGAUCUUUUGUCUCUUGAGUUAUUUUGCUCAAGUACUUUGUCGCUGUUGUCAAAGUCUGUCACAAACAAAUUUGCUUAGCCUCCAUUCCUACCCAUGGAUGAAAACAUGAAAACUAGGGCUCAGAACUAUCAGAAUUCUGCUGUUCUUGUCUUUAAACUCAUGAGCCAUAACUUAGGAAGCACAUAGAUAAAGAAUGGUACUGAACAUUUCAGAGAUGCUCCAAGCCAUCAAUCCCCUUGUGUGUGUAAUUAUGUUGAAAAGGACAUAAUAUGUUCAAUUUUACAGCAUAUUAAUCUCUAUUUUAGCUAAGCAGAAAUUAUCAUAUGAGUACUACUAGGUGUUGUUGGUAUUUUAUUUUAAAAUGAGGCAAGAAUAGAUAACAUAAAAUCUAUACUCUUUAAAAUACUUAUUUUUAAAAUUUAGAAUGCAAGAUAUUUGUAGUAUCUUUAGGAUACUUCAAAUAGUUUGUUUUAAUAGAUUUUCCUUUCCCUUUAUCUCUUCAAAACCCUUUCCUCCCAAUUUCUUCCUGCAACUCCACUUCUCCAUUUCUCUUCUUCUUUUGUGUCCCAUGGGUUCCUUUGUUAUUUUUAUUCAUCAGCUAUAUGUCUUCUACUCUUGGUCUCCUUUCUAGUUUCUGAGGCUUUAUUUAUAUUCUUACACACACACACACACACACACACACACACACACAGGCUCAGAUUUUUCAAAACCUACUUUUAAUAAGGUUCUUAAAUUCUUCAUCCUCCCUUCUAGCACACCACCCACCAGAGGCAGUAGAAAGGGAAGGUUAGUAGAGAAAAGCAGGGUGUGAACCUGUUCAGAAACAGUUCUUUGGGGCAAUUCCAAUCUUUGGGGCAGGAUAUCAGCAGUUUAGUUCACACAAAUCAGCAGCUGCAGCUCCAUCCACUCACAAACACCAUUCACAAAUCAGCAACAGCAGAUUGAUCCAGAAGAAACUGAACAGCGCUGCCAAUGGGCUGGAAUCUGUGGAAGCAGCAAGAAGCCACUGGAACAUCACAAGAAGAUCGUUGGUCAUGACAAAUGGAGACCAAUAAAGAAUGGCAAGGUGUACCAAUACCAUCUAGCUUUGUCCACUGUCCUUUUGACUAUAUUUAUGUCCUUUCCACACAUCAUGUGUUCUCUCAAGCAUCCUCUCUGACAAAACAUCAUAUGCCCAUUUCCCAGGCUGCCUCCAGAAAAACACCACCUGUCUGUUCUUAGCAAAACAUCCUCCCACGUAUCUGCUUCAGCCAAAACAUCCGCUCAUAAGUCAGUUUACAGAGAAACAUCACAUAACACAGCUGAAUCUCCCAAGAAACCAAAAUUAUCUAUUUCACACACACCACAUACAUAUAUAUGCAACAAAUUAAGAUCUACACAUAAGACAGAAUAUAUGGCUUUUCAUUUUCUGAGUUUGGGUCACUUGCUCAGUAUGCUUUCUAGAUACAUCCUGAAGUUUUUUAAAUUUUAUUUUUCUUUAUAGUUGAAUAUAAUCCCAUUGUGUCGAUGUAUCAAACGUUCAUUAUCCUAGGUUUCUGUUGGCUAUUGGACCUAUAGGACUUCACACCCCUAGUCUGUGGCACUAGGUAAGGAGGAGUUAGUUACUAGGAUAGGGGCUUCCAAAUCUUCCCACGAUGGAACUACAGGUGACAGAUGAAGUUACCAACUAGUGUUGCCGGACCUAUUCUUACUUUCCAUUUCUUUAUUCUUUUAUUUUCAAAACUAUGUAUUUUAUUUGACUAUCAAGCUUAAAUACAAACACAUGAGGUCAUUCUUUGGGAAAGAUUUAUAAAUCCUGUGAUGAGCUACAGAUGUCCCUGCCUCCACCUGGGCACAUACAUCUUCAAAGUCACCUUUGUGCUUUCAGGUUGGUUAUUGUUGUUCCCGUCUACCCUCCCCUUUGAAUCUGUUUCCUUCAGUAUAGCAAAGAAAUCCACAGACAAAUUUUAACACAGUUCCUCCAUGCAUGCUCAAGUAGCUGGCUGGACACCGACCAUUGCCCAACACUGCAGGCUUCUACAUGUCUAGGAUCCAGCACACGGGAGAACCAGAUGCCUUACCACCUCAGCCAUGUCAGAUGAUCCCCUGGUGAUGCCUGAAUGUGCUAAAUAUGGCUUUGGAGAGAAGGGAAGUUAACCCUUCUAGAAUGUUUCUUCAGAACCCAAGGCAUCUAUGAAAGAGAAUUCACACUCACAAGACUUAGGAGCACUAGAGACCUGGCUUUGUUCUCUGUCUGCAAGGGUUGAAUCCUUGAGCAUGGGCAAGUCUUGCUUCAUGUUUUUUUUUGAUACAGUUUGUAAGGCAAGGCAGAUGAGCUCUUAUUAUCUCCUGCAAGAUGGGAAGAGCAUUAGUUUUAGGGAUUACUGUAGAACAAAAUGACCUAGUCUGGAGGUGGUGCUCAGAACAAAGCAGAACACACAUGAUCCGAACACACCGUGAUCACUUGCUGGUGUUGGCUGGCAAUGUUUCUAUGCUCUCAGUUUCUGUAACUCUCUCUUCUCAACAAACGUGCUGUCCAACAGCUAACAUGGAUUCCUUGGGACCUUUGAGCUGGCUAGCUAGAGAAGCUAUGCUCGGUUUUCCCAUCUACAGUUUGUGAUAUUUGGCCAUCAUGGAAUUUUUAAUUGGAAGAGCAAGGGGCCAUUUACUGAGUGGGUAUCCCCCAGAUUUGUAUUGUUCAUACCCCAGAGGUGUGACAGUCUGUGGCAAAUUGGUUUGACAGAUGUGUAUUGAUGGCAAUUUCUCGGUGAGCACUGUCCUAAAUUAAUUAAUCACCAGGCAAUUUAAUCUAAAUUGAAUGCUAGUGCUGCAAACAGAAAAUUUUGUUUAUAAUCCUUGAAUCAUCCCAGUUUAAAUGAAGUCAAUUAAAAUGCUCUGUUCCUAACCACUUUUUCCAAUUGAAUAUACCUAAAUGGACACAGUACUCUGCAGGGCAUCUUUCUCUUAUGAGUUGGUCUCUCUUUAAUGUCCUUGGGUUAAUCAUUUUCAGAUACUCUUUGAGCUAUUUUCUGCCAUUGCUUUGAAAAGCAUUUGCAGGUCAUUUGCAGGCUGCUGAGGGAAGCUGAUGAGGUGGACAUAAAAUACGGGAGCGAAGAUCAUGAGGUCCUUGUUGAGAGUUAACAAACAAUGUUGCUCUGUGUUAUUGAUCAACAGGGUCACCAGUGAAAGGAGCAGUGUCAGGGCCAAAGGAGUCGAAUGUCAGCUGUUUAUGAGAUAGGAGCUCCAGGAAUGCAUGGAAACAAGCAGAUGGUGCAACCCCAUGUGGACAAGUUGUUGACCCAAAGGCUCCUUUGCCUCGUGGAUCUCUGAAAAGUGCCCAACUUUAUUAGCCCCGCCUUCCUCCCUGGGAGGCUGUAAACGCCUGUGUAAACACUGAAUGCACCUCUUCAGAUAUCCUGGGAGUCAGGGAUAAGAUUAGCAUGAUAAGCCCAAAUGGCAUGUCCCCCUUUCUUCCCAGCUUGGAGUCACCUCCUGCCUUGGAGCUGAGUGAGCAGAUUUGGUCAAGCACUAUGGAGUGUUUGGGGUGGGAAGGUAGCAGUUUGUCUGUUCAGAGAUCCAGAGCAAGGCUUGAAUCAGAGUCGAAGGUCACGGCAGCCAACGAUGCAGCCUUGUGGUCCUCAAAGCAGUACUAUGAACUGCUCUGGAUGUUCUGGGCUGCACCAGAGUGGAACUGUAUGAGCUAGCCUCUCUUCACAAAGUGUUGAGUCUAGCCUGUGACUACGCCGUCUUUCCCCUCACUUCUUUCUGUCUUUUAAAACUCUCCUUAGGAGAUUCUCUCUGUAAUGAAAGAAGAGCGCGUGCUUCCUUCUCUCUGAGCCAUCUGCAAGGGUCCAUCCAGCACACCAAGGCCGUACCUUUGCCUUCCCACUGAUGGGGACACAUUGCUCCAUGUUUUGCCACGUAGAGAGCUGGGUGCCUAGGAAGAGUCAGGCGAAGUGGAAGGAAUACAGGCCUGGGUGGUCUGGCACCAAGCCUACAUUCCUCUUCUAUUGUCGCCCCUGGGCCACUUGAGCUACUCAGCUCACUAGGUAGGUGGGCUCUGAGAAGUUGGGCACUAAGCCCCCAGGAGGUUUUUCAUUUUUAUGCGGCGAGGGUAUGCAAGCAUAAGGUUGGUUCUCCUGCUGAUGCUCCAUUCUCAAAAACACGGAGAGUCUCAAGUGCCCCACUGGGGUUAGUGUCCUGAGUGAGAGAUUCUCAUCUACUUCUUCCUGUCCUUAUCACACACUUGCCAACUGGGCUCACUCGCCGGCUUUUCAGAUUUCUUGCCAAAUGAAAGCCUGCUUAGCAUUUUAAUCCUUUAGCUUGCUGAGCCCAGUUAGCGCCACCAGAGAUAAUGUGCGAGCCCAGAAGACUGAUAUUUCAAAUGUCUAUUGAGUAAGGGAAGGAAGCAGCAUCUCAGCUGCAGAGAGAAGGCAAGGCUUGGUCUGCUGCCACUGAGAACUUUGACAAAGGUUGCUGCUGCAGUGGAUGGCAAAGGAACAAGCAGCACGGGUGCUAUCACUGACAUCCAUUACAUUGAUCUGACUGAUCUUUGGUGAGCUACUGUGGAGAUUCUCUUGUUUCAUAGAAUAGGGUGUUCUCCCCCUCCACCCCGUCCCUGUGGUGCAGUGGUAAUAGUCAAGAUGGUUUCUUACUCAGAGCCCUGAGCUAGACCUGGGUAAGUUCUUUCUCAAUCAGGCUCAGGUUGCUAUUUAUAAGAGAAUAGAGGACAGAGGAUAAACUACAAAUUAAAAUUAAAACCAGUGAGAAAAAUGGAAAUGUUUCAGAAAUAUAAUCCAAACAUUUAGAAACAUAAAAUGCUGACGAAGUUCUAAGGCACCAAGAGAAAAGGUAUGUGGAAGGGUGCAUAAGGAUACACUGAAAAAUAAAAACAAAGUUUAAAUAAACAACAAGAAAGGGUUAUAAACAACAUCUAAAGGUAAAUUCAAACGCUUAAGCAUUCAAAUAUGCAAAUAUGCAGAAGCUUAAAUGUUUAAAGGAUGUGAGAAGCAAGAUGAAGACUUCAGAAUCACAAAGAAGUAGAAAUAAAGACAACUACUAAAUCAGAUAGAAAGGAAAAGCCUAUUUAAAACAUCAGGUAUAAAAGAUAAGUACCGAAUAAUCAAAUUUAUACUCUCAACCUAAAUAAACGUAGGUUUGAACAUUAAUAAGACAGUAAACAUGAACAAUGAAACUGUUCAGAGUAGUGUCAAUGAGAAUGUAUGUAAACAAAAAUGGCAACCACUAAAUGUCUUCAAAAGAACACUUUCUACAAACUAAAAGGUAUUACUAAAUUAACUUCCAGAUAAAACUGAAAUGACUGACCUACAAAGGCAUGAGUCCCAUGCCUUGGCAGAAUCUUCUAGCAGAGUUAUAUAGUGUAGAGUCUCCAAGUAGGGGGUCCAGGUCUCUAAUGAGUGGCAGUGCUUUAGGGAGCAGGAAGGUGUGUUUCCAGCAAUAAGUUCACUCUGGAGUUUUAACUCUCAUGAGCUGUGAGGAUUAGAACGUAGGGUAACUAGUUAUCAAUCCCAGUCUCUCUUCUCAAAGUCUUAGAUAGGAAAAAAUGGUAGCUGCAAUGAGGAAUUAGUGGUUUGGAGCCUUGAUUUCAUGUGUGUGUGUGUGUGUGUGUGUGUGUGUGUGUGUGUGUGUAUGUGUGUGUGUGUGUGUGUGUGUGUACAUGUUCAGGUAUAUGUGUGCAUAUAUAGGCCAGAAGUCAAUGUUGAAUGUCAUUUCUUAGGUCCCAUCCACCUUGUUAUUUUUCAGACAGGUUUUCUCCUGGCUUGUAGUUCAUCAGCUGGGCUAGGCUGUUUGCUAGUGAGCCCCAGAGAUCCCCCUCUUCCCACUUUCCUAGUGCUAGUAUUACAGACAAGCACAACACUUGUUUUCGUUGUUUGCUUUUGUUUUGUUUGUUUUACUUUGCUUUGUUUUCACGAGAGCUCUGGAGAUAAAACUCAGAGCUUUAUGUUUGCACAGCAAAUGCUUUACCAACUGAUUUGUCUAUCUGACUCUGGGGCAUUUGGUUUCUGUACCUUCUGGACAAUCGGGAUUGUGCAGAGUGGAAGAAGAAAGAACAUAUGUCCUAAUGUUGUGUUUCUUUGAGGUUGUCAUGCAUUGCCUAGGAUGAUGGCAUCAGCAUACCAGAUUGCUGCUUACAUGGUGUGGGAUGGUCAGAAUGUGGUUUUAGUAAUAGUUUUUUCCCCAGGAGCAUUUGAGCCAGUAGGACAACAGGGCAGUCCCAUCCUGCAAAGCUGGAGCUUCCUGGAGAAAACUGGGGUGCUUAGUGUUGUAAGAAGCAGCAAAAAGAAUCUACUCAUGGGGUAGAGACUUGGCAGCACUUCCCAUCAACACAUGAGCGUCAGCAACAGUCCUAAAAGAUGUUUUUCUUUUACUAGAGGACAGGAAGUGGGCUAUCUCUAUUCUGGACCCCUUGUCACCAGUGAGAAAGGUAAACCUGAGCCCCAGAAGAAAUAAUAUAUAUUUCACAUGGCCAGAUAAUUGUUUUUCUGCUCUACCAAAACUGUCAUGUGGAACUACUUGCCAUUUUUUUGUAUCCAUGUGUUUUCCAUUCCUCUAAGCCUUGGUCAACUUUUCUGGCUAGUUAAGAGACUUCCUUUUUGUUUUCUGUUAAAAGGCUGGGGGAGGUCAUUUCUUCAAAGCUUCCAUAAUCUUUGUUGUAUAACAUCUCCUCCAUAUUGAAAAUUCUCUCUGGUGGGAAGCUUGUUAAGACACCAGAAAUACACAAAAUUUACAAGGAUUAGGAAGUUCCCAAAUUUUAUAACUUUUAUAAGAGCUCCCCUUUGAUUAUAUAACCAGUAACGAUUGCUAUGAGGAAAAACUCUGUAACCUGCCAAACUGCUGGUUAUGCACUGACCUCUUGGGGGUGUGGUGUUUUAUUUUUCUUGUUUGUUUUAUGGUGUUUUGUUUUGUUUUGUUUUGUUUUUACUGAUUUAAGUACCUGUGAAUCAUCUAUGCUCCUGUAAGUAACCCCAAUAAACUCUCUUGUGCCCUAAACUAGACUUUGGUGGAAUCAUUUUUUUGGUCUGUUGCUCUAGUGCCUUAUCUUGGGUGAAUAGGUAUUUAUGUCUCUCCAAAAAAAAAAAACCUCACACUUCUCUUGAGUUCCAUCAAAGUUUCUUCAUUCCUCUGUCAAAAAUUAGUCUAUCCUUCCGUUGUUAUCUCAGAUAAUAGCUUCCUGUCUCUUGCCUUACCCAUCUCAGCUAUCUAAGUGACUGGGGCUUUUAGAGAGGGGGAACGGAGGUAGUCAGGGCUAAUUUCUUCAUCGGCAGCUUCUGUGAAGGAGUUCGUCCUCAGCUAGCUGACAAUGAAGCCUCUUGCAGUUUGCAUCAGGUGUGGUUUUCUCUCAAGUUAUUGGGGUGUCAGCUCAUUCCGGGACUUGAGUGGAGGUCUCCUCAGUCUCAGGGGUCUUACACUUCUACCUCAGCAUACAGUGUGGGGCUGACUGCAUGUAGCACAAGCAACUGAUAAACAAGCACCUUGCUUAUCCACACAUACAUAGAGUGAGCAGCUAUGCUCUAAUCAGGUCGUAGUUGCCUCCAGGUGGCAUAGGAACUGGCCAACAAAGUAAAAAGGUUAUCGUUUUUGAGUCUGCUUACAUGUGGAUGUGAUUAAGAUGGCUUUAUGAGAAUGAACUAAACCAUGAUUAUUAGCAUAUUCCCUAUAUACAAACAUGGUCAUAAAACACCUAAGACCCAAAUGGAAUUCUUAAGGUCCUCUGCCCGGCUGGGAGUUGCAGGGAAGGGUUCAGUUGCAUCAUGUGUCCACCAGGCAUUGUCUGUAGUUCUGUCAUGAAUGCCCAAAUUGCUUGUAAAAUGGAGUUUCAUUUGAAAAUAUUUGUGAACUUUUUGUUGCUUUUAAGUUCUCUGGCAUAUAUGACAGACUCAUCAUACUUUAAAAGACUGAGAAUCAGUCUUUAUCUGGCAAGGCACCUGGAGUAUGGUGAGUUUUGUGGUGACUUCUGUCUCACAGCAUGUCCACCCUUUGAUGGUACUGGCACCUAUAGAGGUUUCUGGAAGGUCAUAUGAGGUUACUACUGUAGAGGGUGGUUCUGAAGCUAAGUUCUUGUUCCUCCAUUGUUUUUUGAUCUAUCAGUAAAGAUGUCAGGGCCAAUUGUUGGGCAUCAGGAAAGAGGCAGGACUUCCAGGUCCCCAUAGAAAGAGGUGAGGAGACGCAGAGGAGGGAGAGUUCACCAUGCUUCGGAGGGAGAAAAGGUCACCAGUCAUAUGAAAACUAGUAUGGAGUGGCCAUAGGCCACUUUCCUGACUGGGUCUGGGGUAGCAACUAAAGCUGAGGGCAGAUUUAGUGUGCUAAGCUAAGAGUAUUGGGAAGAGCACAGUAGCCAAGGGUAGCUUAGAGGAGCCCAGCAAUUGAGCCAAUAAGACAGGUUUAAAUUGAGCAACAUGUCUGUGAUUUUCAUCCGCAAAUCCAAUAUCCUCUGGGUCGGGGUUGGUAGCAUGGUUCACCUGGAGCUUAAAGUAGGGUAGUAAAAACUACAUGCUACAACAGUACCACGUACCUUGUGAGGACAGCCUUGGUUGUAGACUCUGAGUAGGUACCACUAGGCUUUAGUAUGGGGGAAUGAUGUUGGCUUUUGUUGCCCAAUUUUUUAGACAGGCAGUGUAUUCCUGUCCUGAUAGAAGUCUGGACAUUUGUGAAUCCUCUUGAGCAGUGCUCCCAUGUUCUGCAUUUCACUAGCCAAUGAAAUGUCAAAAUCCUCCAAGCCUCCAAGCUGCCAACAUUAAAUGGGCCAAAUGGGAGCAUUUAAUUAAAUGGGCAGCCAUCUCUUAUAAGCAUCCAUCUCAACCAUGUCUGAACGCUAACAUGGUGAUCACCAGCUCCAAAUGUGAGGCCCACUGGGUCAUUUUGACUCCAUCGAUGAUAAUCUUGAUAAUUCCAGCUCUGAGUGAGUACUGUUUCUUUUUGCUGCAGCAAUGGUGUAUAGCUCUGAAUACCUCUUUUCCUAACUUGGUUAAGAAGAUGAAACCUGAGAUUAUGUAGUCUCUGGCGAAGCUACAGCUUCACCAACCCUGUUCUUAUGACUUCACCUGAUUGUUCCAGAUUACUGUCACAGUUUGGAUACUUCUCCACUUCUGUUUUACAUUCUCCAUUUACAGCUGUAGCCAUUCUCUUGUAAAGGACUUAUAUCUGCAUCUAAACACCAUAGGUCCUCUACAUGGGUUGGUCCUGGAAAGAUGAAGACCUUGACACUGGCUAUUUUGAAUGAAUUACACAUCACAUUUCUUUGUCACAGCAUCUUUAUGAGAAGACAUGGAAUGGGAGGAACAGUGUUUUCAUUGUUAGGCUCCUUCAGUUACAUCAUUGAUUGCCUUCUUUUUUUUUAAAUAUUUCUUUUUAUUAAGGGAGGAGAUAAGUACAUGAUUGAACAAAUGGAACUGCAGGGUGUGCCCUUUACAAGACUAGGUGAAACAAUAAAUCCAUCAGAAGGCCUGUGUCAAUAUCCUACAAGGAAACUUCAUGCAACAACAUUCAAUGACGUUGAAUAUAUACAGAUGUAAAAGGCUCAGGGAGGCCUCACAACUCUUGCCACUUGAAGGAUUGUUAAGACCCAAAUGUCAUCAGGCAUUUUUUGAAGCUAUAUUUGGCAGAAGGUCUGUGACUGUUGUUGUGAUUUAACAUUUAUUUCAUAAAACAAAAUUAAGAGCCCUCUUCCCACAUCCCCAAAUCUGAAUCUCUCUUUUUUUUUUCUUUUGCACUGAUAAUAGGUUAGAGGGGGCCAUUACUUGUGUUUGUCUAUGAGUUUUGAAAUGCUGCUUUUUUUCAGCAGUCUAUAUAAUGGCUUCUCUUCUAAUCCUGUAACUUAGUUUGUAAAGGUGAUUCAUGAAGCAAGAAAGGAUAGCCAGGGUCAAAGUCAGGAGUCUUCCCUGCAAGGACUGAAAAUCCAUAGGGUUUUCUAUUUUUAUAUAAAAACAAAGUUGUGUUUUAUGAUUUUAUGGCCUCUGAAAAUAGCUUUUUAAUUUUGGUAUAGAAACUAAAAUUAACCACAUAGUUUAUGCCAUUUUGAUUUCAAAAUUGUCCUUGUUUAUUUGUAUUCAAACAUCCAUUUAAUAAACAUUUACCGAGUAGCUACUGCCUGUUAGGUAUUCUUCAAAGCACUUCGAAGACAAACCCAGGAACAAAGUAGCUAGUGAGGAGGGCUAUGAAUGGUGGUAAGCGGAAAGUGGUUGUAGGUGGUGGUUUUCUAUAAUACAGCUCUCUGAGAGGAAAAGAAGAUUUGUCAACAAGAUCUCAAGAAAGUGAAGGAGCAAACUAUGCAGAUAGGUGAUGAAUGAGGUUUCUGAAUAGCCUAUCACGAAGGGGCAUGCUGUGAGGGUAUUCUGGGGGAAACAUGGAUUACAUGGCUAGAUCCAAGUGAACAGAAAAAGCAGGUCAGAGAAAAGGGUAGCUGGGGAGGAUGAAAAGGUAGGGGAGAUUUCACUGGCUUUAUUGGCCACAUGAAUAUGUUAUUCGGAGCUAGCUGGGAGGACUCUGUAGAACUUAGAAGAAGAGAGGCAUAUUUUGGCUUGUAUUCUAAAAGCAUUAUGGCAGAUAGAAAGUAGCCUGGGCCCAGAUUAGAUCAUUGAUAUACCCCAAAUCUAAGAAAGGCCACGUUUCUAAAAUAUAGUAUUUGAAAGGGUAAAAUUAGGGUAUGACAAUGAGAUUUUUCUGAUGUGGAAGAGUGGAGCUGACAUUUUGCCAAUCAGGGGAAGACCAUGAAUCAGUUUUGGUUUGGUUUGGUUUGGUUUUUUUUUGGAGGGGGGGUGCGGGGGAGGCAGGACACAGCACAUAUCCAAAUGAAGAUACAUAUUAUGGAAUUAGGCCCGUGACUCCAGCAUUCAGGAAAGAGGCUGGGGUUGGAGAUGAAGAUGUGCUCAUGCCAUUGUAUAGAUGGUUUCUAAGGCUCAACAUUGAAGAGAUCACCUAGAAAAGGGAUAUCCAGCACCAGCUACUAGCACAUGCCAGCAAACAGGGAAGUCCAAGGCACAGGGACUGUUUCAAGAAGCAGUUCUUCACUGUGUCAAAGAUUGAAGAGUAGCAGCAUGCAACCAAAGCUGGUUGCUGCACUGGGCAGGGAGGCAGUUAGUAUUGCCCUUAGUUAAGUCACCAUUCUGGGGAUGAAAGACCGAGUUCAAAUGUUUCUAAAGAAAGAAAGAAAUGUAGUUAGUGAGUAGACACAGUUCCUCUGGGGUAGUUUUUCUUUGAAGGGAAGCAGACCAAAUAGAUGGAAAUGAAAUGGGGUACUAAGGCCUAGGGGAGGGUUCUAACACAGGACAUGGGUGAAAUCCUCCAUAGAAUGGGAGACAUUAGUGAUGCAAAAGGGAAGGGUUAUGGGUGAAGCAAUGGCCUUUGCUUGGAAAGGAUGUAUAAGACACAGGAGCCAAUGGGAGCAAUUUCCCACUAUGGCUUUAGGAACUUUUAUUGUCAUUGAUAAUAAGUGUCACCAGAAAGAUUUAAACAAAAAGAGAAGCCAGAGUAUUUGUAGGUGUGUCUAUAAAUGAGUACUAAAAUCAUCAAGCAUUCAGAAGGGUAGUGCUGGAAAAGGCAGGGGCCACGGGCUGAAUUCAUGAGCAACAUGGAAGAGUGACUGAAGGGGACCAGCAACCUUCUUGGUGGAUGAAAGAGAAGUGGCUAUUAGGAAGAGGAAGGAGGGCUUGUGACCUGGAAAUAGCAAUGAGGAAUUAUUAAGUGUCUGCUCCUGUUAGCAGUUCAUAACACAUAUUCCCUCUGUAUGAUAUGCAUGGGACAUCUCAGGUUAUGGAUCUAGGCACUCUUCUGCUUAGAGCUUUCCAAAGUCUUCCCAACUUCAGAUGAACAUCUGUAGAAAGUACUCGAAGAACUGUGGUGUAAGUGAAGGAAAAAGCAUACUUAAAAAUAAAAGUUUCAGACUGGAAGAUCUGCCGGCACAGCUAUAUCCAGUUUUGCCAGAUUUUUGACCAUUCAAAAAAAUUUUUUUAAAACUAGAGGUUUUAAAAAUGUAAGCAAUCAUAGGCACAGCAAAAGAAUACUUUCCCCUUCUGGUAUUAUAGAUUUGCCACCUCUCUACAGUUAUAUUAGUAGCAUACAACAGCUAAAAUGUCAAAAUGGAAAGUCCCUUUAAAACAUGCCGUUUAGGGUCCUCUCCAUCCCCUCACUGCUGCUAUCAGACAUAUGAACUUCUGACUUAGGGAAAUACCUUAGGUCCCUUAAACAAACUACAGUAGGUACUGCUAUGCUUUAACCUGGGAAAAAAGAUAUGCGAAGGGGCAACUGAGAUGGGCAUAGUUGCUAGGUCUGAUGGUAGCCCAUUGCUGGAAUGAAUACAUGCCUUCCCAUCAGCAUUCAUGAGCCCUUCGUUCCACAAAACAAUUUGCUAUCAAUAAGAAAUAGAUCAUCAAAACCAAACUCAUGCAGAGUGAGCGAGUGGAUGCAAAGUUGAUUGCACACAGUCAGAAGUGGAGAAACACUCAGGGUAUUUUUAUUUCCAACUGUAUUUUCUAGAUUUCAUCCGGGUGUUCAGUGGGAUUUUGAUGUGACUUAAAACAGUACACGCCUUAUUCAGGGAGCUUUUGCUGAAACACACUUGUGGGGAGAUCUUUGUUGGUCCGUAUGGUGGGCCUUCAUGGACUGGCAUAUGCCAGUGGAAUAAAGUUCACAGCACAGGUCAUGAUCUUAGACUGUUUAAUGCUGUGCAAAUUGUUGAAGCUCACAACUGUCCAUGGAGAAAUUUCCAGAACAAUGACACAGUAUGGAAAUAAAGACAACACUAGAAAAUAGUAACCCAAGGUGUAUGGGUUGUCAGCUGGGAAACUACAAACUGUGAAGCACUUCGACUCAUUGUUUGGCUCUGGAAAAGAGAUCAUUCUAUAGUCGACUGUGAGACUCAUGGGAGGACAGUUCAUUUUAGGGUCCCUAUUACUGCUGUAGUGAACAAGACCAAAUCCAAUGGCAUGUAUGUGAAACUCCAUCAGGUGAAAACUAAAUAGACUUUAGAGGUUAAAUUUUGUAAUAUAAUUAUGUAGUCUCAGGGAAAGCAAGUUCUUGACUUGUGACGUGGUUCAUACAUGUUCUUUGAGACAUUUCGUUUUAAAUUUUCAGGAAUGACCUAAAAGGUAAUCAAUCAUUUCCAACCGUUGAGAAUGUCAGAACAUAGCACCAGAAAGACUCUGGAGUAUCUGGAGCCUGGUAGAUAUUCUCAUGCUUUCCUGGAACACAUUAAAGAUCAAGUUUCCUCAACACCUAGAUCUUCUUUUGUAACGAUAAUGCAGCACACUGUAUACUGUAGAGCAGUCAGCACAAAGGCAGUGGCAUCUAUUCAUGCAGACUUUCCAAGACGACAGACACAGAACACUGGCAUGGUUUAGGAAUACAGUGACGGGAACUUGGACACGCAGCGGCAAGGAAAGCAGUUUUUAAAGAGAACUUGAUGGACUGUGAAGCCAGACUUUGGCCCUUCCUUGUCAAUGGAUGAAGCCCCCAAGGGCUCAGGCCUGAGUAUCACACACCUCUUUUUACUGUACAGCACAAGAGGGAUCAGAGACACAAUCAUCAAUGCAUCACGAGAGCAGACAGAAAAGUGUUAGACGUCUGUAGUGACAACCAGGAAUUACAAUGACUUUGAAAAAUGUAUGCUCGAUGCAAGGUCUGUUCAGUGUGUAUCCCGGAAAACAAUGUAGUGUGGUAGUGUUAGAGACAUGGAACCCAGUCCAAGGGGUCUUGGGAGAAUUUGCCCUGACCUCAAUGUAUACUAUUAAAUAAACACAACAAUAAUAACGACAAAGUCUAGGUCUUGAAGUUUGUUUAAAAUUCCCCAAGAAAAGCACUGAGCUUCAUUUAACUAAGGCUUUCAGGUUCCAUGUGGUGCCUAAUAUAAGUUGUUGUUUGUAUGGUGUGGGAUGGCUAUGUAUGAUCUGAAUGGAAAUCGGUGUGGCGAAGAUUCACAGUCCAUCCAUCUCUACCAUUCACUGGAUACAGGCAUCCAAGCUACAACAUAUUAGCCAGCACUCAUGAACGAAGGUCUCUUUCUAGGUUCCAGACCAAUUCUGUGGCAUGGGCAUGCUCAGUGGGCUUGCUGGAUAGUUAGCAAUUUUGUGCAUUGAUAAUGGGCAGGUCUACUAAAGCUUAAUUGGGGUUUGCGGGUAGAAGCUAUUCUGCUUUGUAGAAAAACAAAAACCUGGCUGAUUUUUAGAAAAAAAAAAAAGUUUAAAGGUAAAGAUCAAAACAGAAGACACUUUAAAUUAUAGUAGAUAAAUAGAUCACACCCACCAGAAACAAACAAAAGAAAAUCAACCCCAAAUUUGGGAUCUACAUGAAGAAUCACUAGGGCACCACUCUGAUACUUUUUGCAUGACCAAGGCCUCAUGAUGUCAGGAUUGAGACCUGUCAUAAAUGCCAGAAUAUUUAUUUCUGAGUAUAACUGCUUCUAGGAAUUCUAUAAAUGUAUUUUAAGGAGCAGAGAUUACUGGGGCCCUUUUCAAUUUGGUUUGCUGUAUGCUCAGUGCAAAAUAUUUGUACAAAAAAAUAUAAAAGGCAUGGCUCAAUGUUUAACGUCUGUGUUUUAUUUUGUUGGCACCAGAAAAAGCUCAUGUAAUGUUAUGUCACUGUACAUACUGUAAACAAGACGGCAUUAAUAUGUUUUCUUAUGAUUUUCUUGUUCCAAUUAAUCUAGAUUUUAAAAAAUACAUUCACAAACUACCUUAUGUUUAAACACAAUGAUUCCCUUUUAUUUCUUAACUGUACCCAAAGUCCCACAAUAAAAAAUCAUUUAAAGCUGUGUGUUUCAGAUGUAUCGCUUAGAAAUAAUGAAACGAAACAAAACAUUAAAACAAAGAUCAGUUUGCAACAUAAUUUAAGGAAGCCUCAGGUUCAAAACAUCACAGCAGCAAUAUAAAGAGCUGGUGGCAAUCGCAUUUGGAGACAAGACCCAAAUCUACAUUAUUUUUGUCCAUAUCAGCAUCCAAUUAUGGUAGUUGCUAAAUUCAACCCAGAUCUAUUGCUGAAUUUGUCCCAUGGAAUUCAUGAGGACAAUGUUGUUUGGCAGCAUAACCCCAGCAGUAAAAAUGAGAACGGAAGGAUUUCAUUGCCUUUGAGAGCUAGAGGGACCAUGACGGGCGCAUCCUGGUGAUCACUUGAAGACCACCCUGACUAUAUUUCUGUGUGUUACCUGCUUCAGAUAACUGCAAACAAUAAUCACCUGUGGAGAUUACAGAUUUUCCCCUAGUCCAGAACUCAGAAUAGUCCCCUUUCUCAUCCCCUUUGGCCAACUACCAGAUUAAAAAGGUGCCGUUUUCCUAAUAUAAGUUUCGUUCUCAUUAAUAGUACAUCAGCUGCUCAUUUCUUUAGGCAAAAUCAGGAGAAUCCCAGUUUUUGUCUUUCUUUUUUGAUCCAUUUACAGUAAUUGUAUUCUUUAAAAACAACCUGCAUUAGGUUUUUGUCAUUGGAGAUUUUUUUUCCCCCUCCAAUUUCUAAAGAACAAUUUGGUCAACUACUGUUUUGAAAAUAUUCAAUACAGCUGAGAUUGCCAGGUGAGCUCUCUAUAUGUCUCCUGGAGAUAACACUGCUGUGAUGAACAGAGAAACAAAAACAAACAAAACGAGGUAGGUUAAAACAGGAAGCACAGCACAGAUACCAUUUCGCAACACCUGGAUACCGUAGGCGGCCAUGCUUAUAGCUUUGAGGAAAAUCCCAGUCAGUCACAUAAAGGUUCAAAUCAUUCGAGUAAGGGUUUCUAUAAGGACACAAGUCAACCUGAACUAAAUACAUACACAUCUCUGCACAGAUGUUGUUAACAGUAUGUUGGAAAGUUUGGAGGAA